rnacentral:misc_RNA from 1 species
GUUUCUAUUUCAUUCCUUGAUGCUAUUUCAAUAGUGUAUAUUAGGUUUUUGCUUUGGCCUACUAGACAUAAAAUGACAAACAUUUUCGCUAAUUGACAAUUACAUCUAAACAUUUUAAUUUUGGCUAGAAAGGGGUAAACCUUUAACAUUGUGAGCAAUCAAAAUUUGUAACAGAAAAAUGCAUAUUUCAGGGUGUUAAAACUACAUUUUAA